CCCUUAGAUGUUCUGGGCCGCACGCGCGCUACACUGACGAAGUCAGCGAGCAUGUCCUACGCCGACAGGUGCGGGGAAUCUUGUCAAACUUCGUCGUGAUGGGGAUUGAUUAUUGUAAUUCUUGAUCAUCAACGAGGAAUUCCUAGUAAGCGCAAGUCAGCAGCUUGCGUUGAUUACGUCCCUGCCCUUUGUACACACCGCCCGUCGCUACUACCGAUUGAAUGGUUUAGUGAGAUCUUCGGAUUGGCGCCACUGCGGCUCAGCAAUGGGCUCGGUGGAUGCCGAAAAGUUGAUCAAACUUGAUCAUUUAGAGGAAGUAAAAGUCGUAACA
rnacentral:rRNA from 1 species